AUUGAACGCUGGCGGCAGGCCUAACACAUGCAAGUCGAGCGAGCGGCGGACGGGUGAGUAAUGUCUGGGAAACUGCCUGAUGGAGGGGGGUAACUACUGGAAAAGGUAGCUAAUACCGCAUACCCUCAGAUGUGCCCAGAUGGGGGUAGCUAGUAGGUGGGGUAAUGGCUCACCGAGGCGACGAUCCCGAGCUGGUCUGAGAGGAUGACCAGCCACACGGGAACGGAGACACGGUCCAGACUCCUACGGGAGGCAGCAGUGGGGAAUAUUGCACAAUGGGCGCAAGCCUGAUGCAGCCAUGCCGCGUGUGUGAAGAAGGCCUUCGGGUUGUAAAGCACUUUCAGCGGGGAGGCGUUACCCGCAGAAGAAGCACCGGCUAACUCCGUGCCAGCAGCCGCGGUAAUAC
rnacentral:rRNA from 1 species